GUUUUGGAGGACUCGAAUCUGCAGGUUUGAAAUGUGGAGAAGACGGAGAUUGCUGGGUCGAUUUCUAUUAGAAUCAAAUUGGUUAUAUGAAUAUGAACCAAGUAAGAUGAGUGGAUUUGCUGGAUAUCUGCGGCAACUGUCCUGCAGUACAGCCUUCUUUGGAGAUGUUGAAGCUUUGGGACGCAGGGAUCUACACCUGGCAACUUCACCAAGAAGAACUUGACUGGAAAUAGAUGUUUAUCUGAGGCCAAAGUCAAUAAGAUUUGUAAAGCUGCUGAGAAGAUAGUGGUAUGUUCAUACUUUACAAUAGGACAAUAUUGCAACAGAUUCAAGUGCACACCAUGAUGAAGAUGGUAUUGAUGAAGAUGGUGCUGAAGAUGUUGCUGAUGAAGAUGAUGCAAACUCUAAUGAGGACUUCUAUUAGAUAUAUUGUUAGCUUCCUUGCUUAAGAAUGAUUGUGCUAUAAAGACCAAAUUUUGAAUAUUUAUCUUUUUCUGAACAUGUA